UCAAGUUAUUAAGGGUGCAGGGCGGAUGCCUUGGCACUAGGAGCCGAUGAAGGACGUGAUAAGCUGCGAUAAGCUUCGGGGAGUUGCACGUAAACUUUGAUCCGAAGAUUUCCGAAUGAGGAAACUCACUUAGAGUAAUGUCUAAGUAUCAUUAAGUGAAUACAUAGCUUAAUGAGGGGAACUCAGGGAACUGAAACAUCUAAGUACCUGAAGGAAGAGAAAGAAAUUCGAUUCCGUAAGUAGCGGCGAGCGAACGCGGAUUAGCCCAAACCAAUAAAGUUUUCUUUAUUGGGGUUGCGGACAUAUCAUAACGGAGAGGUAUCGUAAUUGAAGAGGUUUGGAAAGACCCACCACAGAAGGUAAUAGUCCUGUAUGUUAAACGAGAAGACUUCAGAUAUGAUCCAGAGUACCACGGGACACGUGAAACCCUGUGGGAAGCAGGAGGGACCACCCUCCAAGGCUAAAUACUACCUAGUGACCGAUAGCGUAUAGUACCGUGAGGGAAAGGUGAAAAGAACCCCGGGAGGGGAGUGAAAUAGAACCUGAAACCCUGCACUUACAAGCUGUGGAAGCACAUUUCUUGUGUGACCGCGUACUUUUUGUAGAACGGGCCAACGAGUUACGUUAAGUAGCAAGGUUAAGCACUUAAGGUGUGGAGCCGUAGCGAAAGCGAGUUUUAACUGAGCGUUCAGUUACUUGACGUAGACCCGAAACCGGGCGACCUACCCAUGAGCAGGAUGAAGCGAAAGUAAAAUUUCGUGGAGGUCCGAACCCACGAGCGUUGAAAAGCUCGGGGAUGACUUGUGGGUAGCGGUGAAAUUCCAAUCGAGCCCGGAGAUAGCUGGUUCUCCCCGAAAUAGCUUUAGGGCUAGCCUCAAGGUGAGAGAUACGGAGGUAGAGCACUGAAUGUCCUAGGGGGUAUUGCACCUACCGAAGACUAUCAAACUCCGAAUGCCGUCAUCUUAUACUUGGGAGUCAGACUGUGGGUGAUAAGAUUCAUAGUCGAAAGGGCAACAGCCCAGAUCGUCAGCUAAGGUCCCUAAAUGUAAGUUAAGUGGUAAAGGAUGUGGGAUUGCACAGACAACCAGGAUGUUGGCUUAGAAGCAGCCACUCAUUCAAAGAGUGCGUAAUAGCUCACUGGUCGAGUGAUCCUGCGCCGAAGAUUUCCGGGGCUAAAACUUACUACCGAAGCUACGGCAUCAGUAAUGAUGGGUAGGGGAGCUUCCCAUACGGGUUGAAGCAUGACCGUAAGGACAUGUGGACAGUAUGGGAGUGAGAAUGUUGGCAUGAGUAGCGAGAUGUGGGUGAGAAUCCCACAGGCCGUAAACCCAAGGUUUCCAGGGGAAGGUUCGUCCGCCCUGGGUUAGUCGGGACCUAAGCUGAGGCCGAAAGGCGUAGGUGAUGGACAACAGGUUGAUAUUCCUGUACUACCGAUAACCGUUUGAGAGAAGGGAUGACACAGUAGGAUAAGCUAAGCACACUGUUGGUUAUGUGUGCCCAAGCAUUGAGGCAGUCAAAGUAGGCAAAUCCGCUUUGAUAAUGCUGGGAUGUGAUGGGGAGCGAAAUUUAGUAGCGAAGUAGCUGAUUUCACACUGUCAAGAAAAGUCUCUAUCGAGGUUAAAGGUACCCGUACCGCAAACCGACACAGGUGGGUGAGGAGAGUAUCCUAAGGCCAGCGAGAGAACUGUUGUUAAGGAACUCGGCAAAAUGACCCCGUAACUUAGGGAUAAGGGGUGCCACCAUCAGGUGGCCGCAGAGAAUAGGCCCAAGCGACUGUUUACCAAAAACAUAGGUUUCUGCUAAGUCGCAAGACGAUGUAUAGGAGCUGACGCCUGCCCGGUGCUGGAAGGUUAAGGGGAUCUGUUAGAGCAAUCGAAGCAGUGAACUUAAGCCCCAGUAAACGGCGGCCGUAACUAUAACGGUCCUAAGGUAGCGAAAUUCCUUGUCGGGUAAGUUCCGACCCGCACGAAAGGCGUAACGAUUUGGGCACUGUCUCAACAACAGACUCGGUGAAAUUGUAAUUCCGGUGAAGAUGCCGGAUACCUGCGACAGGACGGAAAGACCCCAUGGAGCUUUACUGUAGCUUGACAUUGGGUCUUGGUACUACAUGUACAGGAUAGGUGGGAGGCUUUGAAACCAGGACGCCAGUUUUGGCGGAGCCAUCCUUGGGAUACCACCCUUGUAGUACUGGGACUCUAACCAUAGGCCAUGAAUCUGGUCUUGGGACACUGUCAGGUGGGCAGUUUGACUGGGGCGGUCGCCUCCCAAAAGGUAACGGAGGCGCUCAAAGGUUCUCUCAGUACGGUCGGAAAUCGUACGUAGAGUGUAAAGGCAAAAGAGAGCUUGAUUGCAAGACAUACAGGUCGAGCAAGGAUGAAAAUCGGACUUAGUGAUCCGGUGGUUCUGCGUGGAAGGGCCAUCGCUCAACGGAUAAAAGCUACCCUGGGGAUAACAGGCUUAUCUCCCCCAAGAGUCCACAUCGACGGGGAGGUUUGGCACCUCGAUGUCGGCUCAUCACAUCCUGGGGCUGUAGUAGGUCCCAAGGGUUGGGCUGUUCGCCCAUUAAAGUGGUACGCGAGCUGGGUUCAGAACGUCGUGAGACAGUUCGGUCCCUAUCCGUCGCAGGCGUAGGAAAUUUGAGAAGACCUGUCCUUAGUACGAGAGGACCGGGAUGGACGUACCUCUGGUGUACCAGUUGUCCUGCCAAGGGCAUGGCUGGGUAGCUAUGUACGGAAUGGAUAAGCGCUGAAAGCAUCUAAGCGCGAAGCCAACUUCAAGAUAAGAUUUCCCACCGCAAGGGUAAGACCCCAGAAAGACUAUCUGGUUGAUAGGUCGAAGGUGUAAGUGCAGCAAUGUAUUUAGCUUAUCGAUACUAAUAGGUCGAGGACUUGACCAA
rnacentral:rRNA from 1 species